UAAAUAUUUACCGAAAGCCUUAUAUAAGGCAUAGUGCUUUUGAUUUCGCACUUAUUUUGGAUCUAUUGUCAAAAGUGAGAGAGCUACUAGUUGUAUUGAAACAAACAGGGACGGCCGCGGUUGAAAUGUCAGACUCAGCUCUCAAGUUUUAAUAAGCACCACGUGGACUAUCUAGUGGAGAAGGUCGAGGCAGCAACUACGGCGCUUUACCCUUUACUAACGGGAAGCGCAAGCUUUCUUUGCGAAACAAACGGUAAUUGUGUAUGUCUUACAUCCAGCCAACAAUGACAUACGCGUCUGCUGCUUGGACCUACGUCCCCAUCGCAUGAGAGCGCUCCAAGUACUACAAAACAAAUUUCUGCGAGCGAUGACAAACACGCCAUGGUUUGCGCGAAAUGUAGCUCUUAACCAGGACCUUUAGCUGGACACUUUAGACGUCGUUUUCCAACGUAAAGCCAACGCGCUUUACGA